rnacentral:rRNA from 1 species
GAUGAACGCUGGCGGCGUGCCUAAUACAUGCCAGUCGAGCGAACAGACGAGGAGCUUGCUCCUCUGACGUUAGCGGCGGACGGGUGAGUAACACGUGGAUAACCUACCUAUAAGACUGGGAUAACUUCGGGAAACCGGAGCUAAUACCGGAUAAUAUAUUGAACCGCAUGGUUCAAUAGUGAAAGACGGUUUUGCUGUCACUUAUAGAUGGAUCCGCGCCGCAUUAGCUAGUUGGUAAGGUAACGGCUUACCGAGGCAACGAUGCGUAGCCGACCUGAGAGGGUGAUUGGCCACACGGGAACUGAGACACGGUCCAGACUCCUAGGGGAGGCAGCAGUAGGGAAUCUUCCGCAAUGGGCGAAAGCCUGACGGAGCAACGCCGCGGGAGUGAUGAAGGUCUUCGGAUCGUAAAACUCUGUUAUUAGGGAAGAACAAAUGUGUAAGUAACUAUGCACGUCUUGACGGUACCUAGUCAGAAAGCCACGGCUAACUACGUG